GACGAACGCUGGCGGCGUGCUUAACACAUGCAAGUCGAACGGAAAGGCCCUGCUUUUGUGGGGUGCUCGAGUGGCGAACGGGUGAGUAACACGUGAGUAACCUGCCCUUGACUUUGGGAUAACUUCAGGAAACUGGGGCUAAUACCGGAUAGGAGCUCCUGCUGCAUGGUGGGGGUUGGAAAGUUUCGGCGGUUGGGGAUGGACUCGCGGCUUAGCAGCUUGUUGGUGGGGUAGUGGCUUACCAAGGCUUUGAAGGGUAGCCGGCCUGAGAGGGUGACCGGCGACAUUGGGACUGAGAUACGGCCCAGACUCCUACGGGAGGCAGCAGUGGGGAAUAUUGCACAAUGGGCGGAAGCCUGAUGCAGCAACGCCGCGUGCGGGAUGACGGCCUUCGGGUUGUAAACCGCUUUAGCCUGUGACGAAGCGUGAGUGACGGUAAUGGGUAAAGAAGCACCGGCUAACUACGUG
rnacentral:rRNA from 1 species